rnacentral:rRNA from 1 species
GACGAACGCUGGCGGCGUGCUUAACACAUGCAAGUCGAACGAUGAAACCUAGCUUGCUAGGUCGAUUAGUGGCGAACGGGUGAGUAACACGUGACUAACCUGCCCCUUUCUCUGGGAUAACGCUCCGAAAGGAGUGCUAAUACCGGAUACUCACACCGAGGCACAUGCGUUGGUGUGGAAAGUUUUUCGGAAAUGGAUGGAGUCGCGGCCUAUCAGCUUGUUGGUGAGGUAACGGCUCACCAAGGCGACGACGGGUAGCCGGCCUGAGAGGGCGACCGGCCACACUGGGACUGAGACACGGCCCAGACUCCUACGGGAGGCAGCAGUGGGGAAUAUUGCACAAUGGGCGCAAGCCUGAUGCAGCGACGCCGCGUGAGGGAUGAAGGUCUUCGGAUUGUAAACCUCUUUCAGUAGGGACGAAGCGAAAGUGACGGUACCUAAAGAAGAAGCACCGGCUAACUACGUGCCAGCCGCCGCAGUAA